rnacentral:lncRNA from 1 species
AGGCAGAGUGAAAGGAUAACGUGGUUACUGGUGCCAGAAGAUCUCUGGCUCUGAACUGAACUUGCCAUUUCCUCGUUGCUCUGUGCCUCUUCCUUGGUUGUUGUUUCAACUUUGAACCAGCUACCAAGAGGAACUUUGUGACAGAUAUAUGUGUUUGGGAUUGGAAUGGGGAUGGUGCAAGGAUUGUUCUUAGAAGACUGAAAACAGAGGUAAAAAAAUACUGUUAAAAACAGUUUAAUACAGUUGUGUAUGAAUUUUAUUUUGAAGACAGUGGAUAUUACAUUACUACCUUUGGGUUGGAAUACUUGAGUGCUAGCUAUCCGGUGCAGACCCUCUUCAGGACCCACUUUCCUUGGCCUAUUGAGAAGCACAUGAACAUGUUGGAUUAUAUUAGUUAUGAUUAUGAAAGCAUGAAACAAAACUUAAAGCGACAAACCCUCUUUUUUUUUUCUUUGUAACAGGGGAAUUUCACCGCGACUCUGCACACGACACUACAAAUUCCUCUGAAAUCUUUCUGCUGAUAAUAAGGUGAGAAGAAGCUGAC